rnacentral:rRNA from 1 species
UACGUAGGGGGCAAGCGUUGUCCGGAUUUAUUGGGCGUAAAGAGCGUGUAGGCGGCCAGACAGGUCCGUUGUGAAAACUCGAGGCUCAACCUCGAGAUGUCGAUGGAAACCGUCUGGCUAGAGUCCGGAAGAGGAGUGUGGAAUUCCUGGUGUAGCGGUGAAAUUCGUAGAUAUUCGGAAGAACACCAGUGGCGAAGGCGGCUCACUGGACUGGUAUUGACGCUGAGGUGCGAAAGCGUGGGGAGCGAACAGG